GGGGUUGUGGUUCAGCUGGUAGAGCGCUCACCUUGCACGUGUGAGACCCUGGGUUCGACCCUCAGCAACACAU
rnacentral:tRNA from 1 species